GCUUUAGUAGCUUAAUAGAAAAGCAGUAGUCUUAGAAGCUAAAGAGUAAGGGUGCAAGUCCCUUCUAAAGUA
rnacentral:tRNA from 1 species